GGCAGCUAAAGAAAAAAAAACUAAAGAUAUAUUAUUAUUGAGGAAAGGCUGCCAUCUCUAUUAUUAUUGGGGGAUUCAAGAAGGCGAUAGGUUCAAGCUUCAAAGCCACGAUUCAAGAUUCACGUCCGGGUUUGCAAUUUAUUAGUAUUCAGUUUGUUAAGACUUUGAGUUUUUAGAUUUGAUACUAUGAUUUAUUAUUCGGUUCAGACUUGUUUCUUUUUAUUUGUUAUGUUUCUUGGCUAGUUCUUUUAUACUGCCUAGGUUAUGAUGAACACCAUGUUUGUCUAAUUAUUCUAUUCGAUUUAUGGAUUCUAUUUUGUGGAUUUAAUAAUUAAAGUAAAGACUUGGCUUUUAUGGUUUGACGUAUAUGCGUAUUUAAUCUUGUUCAUUGAAUAUUUAUUAUCCCUCAUGUUGCUAGUUGAAUGUCUUUCAAAUAAUAGUUGCAUGCUAGGUCAAUUACUAUGUGUUCUUGACUAUUAGAUGUUUCGCUAGACGUAAUGAACCAUAUGGAUAUAAUUGUAAUUUGAAUAGGGUUAAGUAUUCUACAAUCUUAAUAGGUGAGAGGUGAGAGGUUGUCAGUAUGUCUUUAGUGUUAGAUUGCUAGGGUUAUAAACUUUGAGAGAAGAUCCCCUUAGUUACCCUUUCACUAUUUGCUUAUCGAGUUUGAUCAUAAUUCAAUAGUUACCUGUGACUUUCGUGAUGAGAGGUAGAUUGUCUAGAGGGUACUUUAUUGUUACAGUAGGAUAGCUCGAGAGGGAAUCCUCUAUAUCGGUAUUAGAACAGCUUAUUAGGUUGCCAUAGGUAUCUUCUCGAGAAGGGUCGAGGGUCCUGUUCGGUUAUCCUUUAAGUUUAGCAUCAUAAGACCCCAGUUUCCACAAUUAGUUCCAUAACCGAUAGAAGUUGUCAUACAUGUGUAGGAUUCUGACCAAGGUAGUGUACUUCUCAUCUCUGAUCGUUUCUUAAGUCCUCAGUCUUAGUUUGUGUCCCCUUCCGCUUAAGUUAAUUUAGUUAAUUAAUUUAAUUUAAAUCGCAAUUUUAGAAUAUUUAGAAAAUCCCCCAGACAACAAAACAAUUAAGUACCGUUAGGUUAGAGUCACUCUAGUCAGAGUCUAGUAAACGUAGUAGUCAGUAGAAUCUCGUGGGUUCGAUACUCGGACUUAUUUAGGCUAUACUACACCGAUCAGUACACUUGUCGGUUAUGUGGUCAAGGUUUAGAGAGUCUUAGUUAUAAAUUUAAAACUUAGAGAGUCUAGUUUAGGGUUUGAUUUUAGUUAAUUUAAUUAGAUCACUUUUAGCACAUCAGGAAGCUUGUAAAAGAAGACGGGUUCUUACUUGAGUUGGGUCAUUAUGUGGGGUUGAGUUGAUUGUGAGAUUAAAUUAAUCAGCAAGUUGUUUUGAGUGAGUUGGUUGGGGGCAAGCAACGGGUAAGUGUGGGAAUGUGACGGGUGGACCGUAGAACAACCCUAAUUGUUAUAAUUAUAAUGAAAAUCAUAUGUUUAAGUGUGUUAUUUUAAGGAGUUGGAUGACUACAGUGUGCUUUGUUAUGUUAGGUAAAAGAGGCGGAAAAGACGAAAAGAAAGGAAGUAUGAUGAAGUGCGAAAGUUGAAGUGGAUGAAGAAGACAAGUUGGGCAAAACUGGGUGCUACCGUAGCUUACGGUAGCACCCGUAAGCUACGGUAGGCACCAAUUCAGAAAAUCUCCACCGUAGCUCAGAAGGUUCCUACUGUAAAGACUUUGAAGCCACCGUAAGCUACGUUGCCAUCGUUGUUUAUGGUGGAGGCAAGACGCAAAACUUUGUUUUCAUUAUAGUAGUUGGUAUGGAGUGACUCUUGGGUAUCUUUUUCAUUAUUCUCAUUUCAGAACUUGUUAGAGGCGAAAUUAGGGUUGCAAAACAAGAUUUUGGGUGUUUCUAUUAUUGCUUUAUCAUUUUUAAUUCAUUUGAACAGCGGAUUUGAAAUGAUGAUGAUCAAUCGAACAAUGUGUGGCUAAUUUCCUUUAUGUUUUUUCCCGGAUUAUUCCUUUUUCUAAACCAUCAGUUCUUGGUGCCAUAG
rnacentral:lncRNA from 1 species